GUGGGGAAUCUUCCGCAAUGGACGAAAGUCUGACGGAGCAACGCCGCGUGAGUGAAGAAGGUUUUCGGAUCGUAAAGCUCUUUCGUUAGGGACGAACGUGCUCUUUGUGAAUAAUGAGGAGUAAUGACGGUACCUAAAUAAGAAGCCACGGCUAACUACGUGCCAGCAGCCGCGGUAAUACGUAGGUGGCAAGCGUUGUCCGGAAUUAUUGGGCGUAAAGCGCGCGCAGGCGGGAUAUCAAGUCUGUCUUAAAAGUGCGAGGCUCAACCUCGUGAGGGGACAGAAACUGGUAUUCUUGAGUGUCGGAGAGGAAAGUGGAAUUCCAAGUGUAGCGGUGAAAUGCGUAGAGAUUUGGAAGAACACCAGUGGCGAAGGCGACUUUCUGGACGAUGUCUGACGCUGAGGCGCGAAAGCCAGGGGAGCAAACGGGAUUAGAUACCCUGGUAGUCC
rnacentral:rRNA from 1 species